AACGUAGGAGGCGAGCGUUAUCCGGAUUUACUGGGCGUAAAGCGCGUGCAGGCGGUUUGGAAAGUUGGAUGUGAAAGCUCCUGGCUUAACUGGGAGAGGUCGUUCAAUACUUCCAGACUAGAGGAUGUGAGAGGAAAGCGGAAUUCCGAGUGUAGUGGUGAAAUGCGUAGAUAUUCGGAGGAACACCAGUGGCGAAAGCGGCUUUCUGGCACAUUUCUGACGCUCAGACGCGAAAGCUAGGGUAG
rnacentral:rRNA from 1 species